AUGAUGGCAUUACCCCUUUUGCCCACUCCCAUUUCCAUCCUCAUAUCUUUGAAAAAAGCUUCAUAAUCACACCUGGCCCUAAAGACACAAUGAUAUAAGGACAAACCUCUUAGGGACACUGGAGUGUUUGUUCUUUGGCCAGUCUGUCCCUGGCAGUGCUAUAGAAAUAUAUAAAUAUAUGUAUGUAUAUAUAUAAUCUUUGCUCAUGUCUGUACAAUACUGAUCUCUGCUGAUUGCUUAAAACAGAACCUGAUUUCCCCUACUGCAGCAUCUCCUAAGCCAAAAA